rnacentral:rRNA from 1 species
AUUGAACGCUGGCGGAAUGCUUUACACAUGCAAGUCGAGCGGCAGCGCGGGGGCAACUCUGGCGGCGAGCGGCGAACGGGUGAGUAAUGCAUCGGAACAUGUCCGGUUGUGGGGGAUAACCUGGCGAAAGCCAGGCUAAUACCGCAUGAGCUCGAGAGAGGAAAGCGGGGGACCUGCAAGGGCCUCGCGCGACCGGGUUGGCCGAUGUCCGAUUAGCUAGNGGUGGGUAAAGGCUUACCAAGGCGAUGAUCGGUAGCUGUCUGAGAGGAUGAUCAGCCACACUGGGACUGAGACACGGCCCAGACUCCUACGGGAGGCAGCAGUGGGGAAUUUUGGACAAUGGGGCAACCCUGAUCCAGCCAUUCCGCGUGAGUGAAGAAGGCCU